ACCCAAGGAAAGGGGGCAGGGAAUGCUGGAAUGGAAAGGAAUUUCCCGGGAAUUUCUUGACCAUCCCUCCCGCCUCCGCGCGGCCCCGCCCGUCGCGACCGGGCAGACCCCUGCCCUACGAGAGAGAGCCCGUAUCUUGCCACUGAAUGGCACUCGGGAGCCUCAGAGCUUUCCCGCCUCGCCACCGGCUCCUUUCUGGCCCGACCUCGGUCUCAGGGGACAGCUCUGCCUAGGGGCUUCCCGGGCAGCGCCUACGUCCCCCAACUUUCUGGGAUCCUCUGUCCGUCCCCGCGGGCGGACGGGCCGGAUCUACCCUCGUAUACACCUGGGCAGCACCCUGAAAACUGGGACGGAGGGCCCUGAGUGGUUUACCCACUCCACGCCCCGCCCCCAACACACACACCUGACAAAUGGGGAGACCGAGGCUCAAAGAGUUGGGUUCGAAAAGGGAUUUAGCAGGUUUUCAGGACUCCACAGACUGACCUGUAACCUUAGGCCUGAUAAACAAAGCCUUAUUGUUAUUGGAGGAGGAAAGAGGGCGGGAUUGGCUAAACACCUCUCACUUCUUGGUGCCUGCCUGGGCUUCCUUCCCCAGGCCUAGUAAGGAGGGCCUAAACACACUGCCCCGGCUGUGACAGAUACUGGGAAGAGGCAGCCCUGACCUCCUGGUGGGUUCCUCUGAGGGAUCCCAGACCGAAGAACAGUAGGAGACCUCCGACAGGUCAUGGGCAUGGUGGGGCUUUUAUGUUGGUGCCCUGAGGAUUAGCUGAGCCAACUCAGGGACUCCAGCGUGUCACCCCAGAGGGGAGUGAAGGAGUUAGAAGAGUGCAUUGCCAGGUAGGGCCAUGAAUUAGUAUACGUGAAAGGCCACAGAGGGAAAAGGUGAAGUGCCUCCGACUCUCAGAACAGCUAGCUGAUGCUGCUGUAAGCCGCUAUCUGUUGCGCUGUCACUCCCUGUAUCAUUAGUCAACCUCACAUUUCUGCAAGUGUUACCGGUCAGCGGCCAGCACUGUGCCUGCCACCAGCCCCUGGCUGAGGAAGCACUGCCUCGGAGCCAGAGAGGGUAGAUUUAUAGACUAUUUUAUAACCAUUUCUGAACUAUGGCUCUAAACCUAACAUAGAGGGUAUAUCGUGCUGUAGCCAUCCAUUCACUCAAUAAAUAUUUGCUGAGCACCGUCUGUGUGUCAGGGGAUGUGCUAGAUGUUAUGUAUAUACAGAUGAAAAAGACACAAUUCCUUCCCCAUGCAGCCCAGCCGAGACAGAUACAGAAACAAAAAUAUACUGCAAGGAGACAGCUCUGACCACUGAGCCCAGCAGGGGAAGGGAGACUCCAGGUGGAACUUUUUGGAGUAGGUGAAAUUCAAGGGAGCCUUGAAAACAAGAGUCAGCCAGAUGAAGAGUGUGGGAGGUUAUUCCAGGCAGAAGGAGCGGUGUGAGUUAGUACAUGGGGGCAGGAAACUGCAGGGUAUAAAAGGAAUGCCUAACAUUUCACUGCGGCUAGACUAGAAAUCCAAGGCCAGGAGGGGCAAGAGAUGGGGCUGUGGAGAUGGGCAGCGGCCAGACCACGUAGGCCCGGUGCACCGUGUGAAGUGUGGAUCUGAGGGGAAUGAGGCUGCACAGAAGCUUUGAGAACCAGGUGCAAAGCAAUUGCAAUAAUCCGGGUAGGAAUGGCCCCUUAGUCCAUUCUGCUGUAACAGAAUCCCGUAGACUGGGUGGCUUCGACAAGAACGUUUAUUUCUCAGGGUUCUGGAGGCUGGGAAGUCCAAGGUCAGAUUCGGUGUGGUGAGAGCCCACAUCCUGGCUCCUAGACAGCCAUCUUCUGUGUCCUCAUGUGGUGGUAGGAGCUCUGCCCUCAUGACACCCACUCAUCCUCCUAAUACCGUCGCUCUGGGUGGGGGGGGCAGGAUUUCAACAUGUGAAUUUGGGUGGGACAUGAACUUCAGUCUCUUGCAAAUGGAGAAGAGUGGAUAGACAAGAAAUACCUAGAAAAUAAAACUGAGUGCCUCAGAGUUUCAGUGUGAGAACAGAGGAGUCUUUGCUGCUCUCGACCAAUGUCCCAUAUGGAAUAGACCAUGAAAUUUAUCUAUAUUAUCUUAGGUAAGUUCUACUAUGAGAUGAGGGCUGUCUCUGCCUGACAGAGAAAACCAACCAAAGCUCAGUGAGGUAGCUAACUAGCCCCAUAUACACGUAACACACAUACAUGUGACACCUAAACCCAUGCUUUGGCCCCAGUGUUUCUCAACCCUAGGAUAGUUUGACACCCUCCUUCCCAGGGGAUAUUUGGCAAUAUCUGGAGACACUUUCUAGUUGUCACAACUGGCGGGUCCCUACUGGCAUGCAGUGGACAGAAGCUAAACAUCUGUUAACAAGCAGGACAGGACAGUCUCCCCACAACAAAGAAUGAUCCAGACCAAAAUAUCAACAGUACUAGGGUUGAGAACCCCUGCCUUAGUUAUUGGUUUCUAGUUUGGAUGAUCUGGUGAAUGGUGGCAGUACGACCAACUGACAAAGAAUUUCAGAUUUGGGAAUGGAAUCCUGGAUUGAAUGCACGGAGCUUGAAGGGCUCGGAGAAUGUUCAGAUUCGGUGGUCCGGCAAGCAGGUGACCGCAUGGCCCUGACCUCAGAGGAAACAGAUCUGAGAGUCAUCUGUGUACAGGUGGUAUUGACUCCAUGUGACCACCCAUGAAGAAUAACGAAUGCCUAAGCGGGACUGGGAAGGGACCACGGCUGAACCAGGAGAAGCAGCACUUGGAAGGAAGUAUAAAGAACAAGGUCCCCUGAUGGAGACAGAGAGGAAGGGGUCAGCAGGAACACAGAGAGCCUGGCCCACUCUGUGUCAUAAAAGUCAAAGGUGUGAAGUUUCAAAGUGAGGGGAGUCAGCAACAUCAGAUAUAUCAGGAAAAUAAGGCUUAAUGAAGUAUUCUUUGCAUGUGAUCAUUGAAAAUUCACUGGUGUCCUUUGCCUGUGGAAUUUCAAUAAUGUGGCCAAAGCUGUGACUUUAAAGAGACACUAGCCAGGACUAAAGGACAAAAGUGAAUAUAGAAGUCCCAGAGGGGGGUCCAAAGGAGGAAUUUUUUUCUUUGAAUAGGAGAAACUUGAGGAAGGAUUCCGUUGAGAGGAAAGAGCUGAAAAGGCAAGCAAGUGAAAGGGAAGACCCCCUGCAAGGAUGGACUGAAGGUGUGGAAUUGACCGGUCUUUCCAUCCAGGACUCACUGGUGGCCAUCACACUGUGAUACUAGUUCCAUAUAACGCCAUCUCCCACAGAGAAAACAGAAUUAUUAACCAUGCUGAUUUUUUACAGAUACUAAGGUGCGAUGACAAAGGAACCAAGAUCGAGGCCAGAAUUCUUGCCAUUCUUGCCAUUCACUGCCAUGGCCAGUGGCCAUGAACUGAGGCUCAAGAAGUUUGCUCAAGUCAUGGCAGGGCAGACAACAUUGAUGCCCUUUCAGGCACCAGUCAGGCCUUUCCCUGGAUGGGAGAUCUCCUGACUCAGCAGCAACAGGCUCUGAGACUAGCCGAAUCCACCACCAGCACUACAGACAACUGUUUCUGCCCCAAUCUAGUCGGUAAUGAGUCACCCAGAAAGCCAUAAGUGCUUUGCUCUUGAAAGAACCUAGGUCUGGAGUAGGUGACCCAAUUUCCUUGGAAAGAAGAAAUCAUGUCUAUGAGUUCUGGGAGUACUUAUUGGGCACCUACUCUGUGCCAGGCAGAAUUCUAGGAGACCCGCAGGAGAGCCCUAUUCCUCCCAAACCUUCUGGACUAGCUGCGACCAAACAAUGGGCUUCCGCCUCUAGAAUUCAUCAUCCUAGAAUCCAUCAGAUACUUACUGACAGGCUGAGAGAAUAGAAACGAAUUGGACUGCCACGUGAGGUGACAUAAACAAUGUAGAGUACCAGCCCAGUGCCUGACAUGCACCAGGCCACCUAGAUGCUCAGCAGUUUCUUUUUCCUGCCCUACUAUGUGUCAUUCAUUGGCCGUGCAAGUCCCCAUGAGGAAACACAAAAAAAGCAGCAUCUGCAAGAUUCUGGAAAGUAAAAGCUCUGUGGACCUCCCAGCCCAGAGUUCCGGGGAUUUCCUUCAGCGUGUCCCAAAUCUCUAACCUUACACCCUAAUGGUCAUGGGUUCCUUACUGGCUCUUCCUAAGAGAACUAAGGACAGUAGUAUUUGCAGAAGGCUAAAAGGAGGGAGGGAACUCACCAUGGUUUCUUGGGUUUCUGGCUCCAUAGGUCAGAGAUCUCAGUUGCAUUGCCGGUCCCAACAGCAGUCUAAUUUAUGCACGCCUUUGUCACUGAAUUCCCAUAGACACCAUUUACAGUUGUCUCUCUAAUAUAUAUCAUAUAUUAUA